GAUGAAGAACGUAGCGAAAUGCGAUAAGUAAUGUGAAUUGCAGAAUUCAGUGAAUCAUCGAGUUUUUGAACGCAUAUUGCGCCCUCUGGUAUUCCGGGGGGCAUGCCUGUUCGAGCGUCAUUAAAUAACCCUCAAGCAUAGCUUGGUGUUGGGCUUUUUUACGUCCUUGACUGGGAUGGGCCUAAAAAUUAGUGGCGAUGGCUUUUUUACUUUCAAGCGUAGUAAAUCUCGUCUUGCUAAAGAGGAAAAAGAUUUUUUUUCUGCCAAAAAUUUUAACAUUUAAAGUUGACCUCGGAUCAGGUAGGAUUACCCGCUGAACUUAAGCAUAUCAAUAAGCGGAGGAA
rnacentral:misc_RNA from 1 species